AGUGGCGGAGACGCUUAGAGGAGGUGAAAGCAUUGGCGGAAAGAAAAUUCAAGGGGGAAAAUGCAGCUGGAGUCGUGUGUACUACUCCUUGGCCAAGAGGGGCCAUUUCAAUCGAAUAUCUCAUAGCCUCUAGGGACUUUCUGCAGCGCCUCUGAGAACUUACACAGAUCGGUCAAUUGAUGUUGAUGUAACAGUUAUAGGUUCUGGUCCUGGAGGGUAUGUUGCUGCUAUUAAAGCUGCCCAGUUAGGCUUCAAGACAGUCUGCAUUGAGACAAAUGAAACACUUGGUGGAACAUGCUUGAAUGUUGGUUGUAUUCCAUCUAAGGCUUUAUUAAAUAACUCUCAUUAUUAUCAUAUGGCCCAUGGAAAAGAUUUUGCAUCUAGAGGAAUUGAAAUGCCUGAAUUUCGCUUGAAUUUAGAUAAGAUGAUGGAGCAGAAUAAGGUUGUUCAUGUCGAUGGAUAUGGAAAGAUAACUGGCAAAAAUCAGGUCACUGCUACGAAAACUGACGGCAGCACUCAGGUUAUUGACACAAAGAACAUUCUCAUUGCUACGGGUUCAGAAGUUACUCCUUUUCCUGGAAUCACGAUUGAUGAAGAUGCAGUAGUGUCAUCCACAGGAGCUUUAUGUUUUAAAAAAGUUCCAGAGAAGAAGGUUAUUAUUGGUGCAGGCGUUAAUAGGUGUAGAAUUGGGUUCAGUUUGGCAAAGAGUUGGUGCAGACGUGACAGGAGUUGAAUUUUUGGGUCACGUAGAUGGAGUUGGAAUUGACAUGGAAAUAUCUAAAAACUUUCAACGCAUCCUUCUAAAACAGGGGUUUACAUUUAAGUUGAAUACAAAGGUUACUGGUGCUACCAAGAAGUCAGAUGGAAAAAUUGAUGUUUCUAUUGAAGCUGCUUCUGGUGGUAAAGCUGAAGUUAUCACUUGUGAUGUACUCUUGGUUUGCAUUGGCUGAUGACCGUUUACUCAGAAUUUGGGACUAGAACAGCUUGGAAUUGAACUAGAUCCCAGAGGUAGAAUUCCAGUCAAUACCAGAUUCCAAACUAAAAUUCCAAAUAUCUAUGCCAUUGGUAAUGUAGUUGCUGGUCCAAUGCUGGCUCACAAAACAGAGGAUGAAGGUAUUAUGUGUGUUGAAGGAAUGGCUGGUGGUGCUGUGCACAUCGACUACAAUUGUGUACCAUCAGUGAUUUACAUACACCCUGAAGUUGCUUGGGUUGGCAAAUCAGAAGAGCAGUUGAAAGAAGAGGACAUUGAGUACAAAGUUGGGAAAUUCCCAUUUGCUGCUAACAGCAGAGCUCAGACAAACGCUGAUACAGACGGCAUGGUGACGAUUCUUGGGCAGAAAUCAACAGUGUACUAGGAGCACAUAUUCUUGGACCAGGUACUGGAGAAAUGGUAAAUGAAGCUGCUCUUGCUUUGGAAUAUGGAGCAUCCUGUGAAGAUAUAGCUAGAGUCUGUCACGCACAUCCAACCUUAUCAGAAGCCUUUAGAGAAGCAAACCUGGCUGCAUCAUUUGGCAAACCUAUCAACUUUUAAAUAGAAGAUUAU